rnacentral:lncRNA from 1 species
GGGACGUCGGCAGAGAAAUCCGGCGAUGGAGAACGAGCCGAGCUCGUCGGCUGAAGCCGGCGGACAGCGAGCCGAGCUCGUCUUGGUCAAUGAAGACCGCAUCCCAACGCAUCGGGGCAUCUCGACGUCUCGAGGCAUCCCGACCGAGGUCGGGGUAGGAGCACGAGCCGAGCUCGUCCGGUCAGAGGACCGCUACUCAAUAGUCGAUGGAGCACGAGCCGAGCUCGUCCGGUCAGAGAGGACCGCUACUCAUAGUCGACGGAGCACGAGCCGAGCUCGUCCGGUCAGAGAGGACCGCUACUCAAUAGUCGAUGGAGCACGAGCCG